rnacentral:rRNA from 1 species
CCUACGGGAGGCUGCAGUGAGGAAUAUUGGUCAAUGGGCUUACGCCUGAACCAGCCAAGUAGCGUGAGGGAUGACUGCCCUAUGGGUUGUAAACCUCUUUUGUCAGGGAGCAAUUGGCGCUACGUGUAGCGUUAUCGAUAGUACCUGAAGAUAAAGCAUCGGCAAACUCCGUCCCAGCAGCGGCGGUAAUCGGGAGGAUGCGAGCUUUAUCCGAAUUUAUUGGGUUUAAAGGGUGCGUAGGCGGAAUGCCAAGUCAGCGGUAAAAUCGGGGGGCUCAACCUCGCUCCGCAGUUGAAACUGGCGUUCUUGAGUGGGCGAGAGGUAUGCGGAAUGCGUGGUGUAGCGGUGAAAUGCAUAGAUAUCACGCAGAACUCCGAUUGCGAAGGCAGCAUACCGGCGCCCAACUGACGCUGAAGCACGAAAGCGUGGGUAUCGAACAGGAUUAGAUACCCCAGUAGUC